UCUCCCCUGGUCUACGACGUUGAAUAGUUUAGCUCAAUCUCGGGCAGAGCAAUAGCAUCCUAUUCUCAAUGGAAACCCGCAGUUUUACCCCGCCCCCACACACCCACCGACCUCUGUCUUUUGAACAGUUAGCUGCUAGGAUUUUUUUAACCCUUGCUCGCUACACGGAUACAAAACACGCCGUAUUUUUCGUUUGUAAACGCCGCCCCAGCUGGUCAGUCGUCAACCAGACUGGUAGUGUGGCUGCUCAGCCGAUGUCUUGUGGCUGUAUGUGUAGCCUCAUAAGCAUAGACACGAUUUAUUUAUUUUGAGAUUUUUAUUCUCUCCCGAGACGCGAAAGGGUAUUGACGAUUCGCUUCCUCGCUAUGCCAGAAUGCAGAUCAGGGUUCGAAACAGGAACAGGAGUCUUCAGUCUUCCCCGGCAAAGUGAAUACGACGUCCUUUCCAUGAAACGCUGACGAGUUUUCUAAGGAGGCGUCUGAGUUUGUUUGGCAUGUUCAAAUAUGCACAAGAAAUUCUGAGGCAUCGGUCUGAGUCCACUUGAGAGGCUGAAACGAACCAAGUGUGAACGUGCCCUCAAGGUUCCAGGUGAUUAUCCACAGUCUUUUUUUGCCCAUUUUGACCUGAUCUCCAGAAGUCAUAGAAGGCGUUUCUGAGGAGGCUGGGGCUGCAAGGCACUAUGCCCAUCAGAGUGCAGGUACUGUCAGUGUUCUGUGUGUGUUUGUGGUAUUUAUGAACUACUUGUAUGCCUUUUAGCCACAUGGACACGGGAAAACCUUUUCUUUCUGGAAGGUUACUGCUUUAUUUUUUUGACCUCCCUCAUAACAUGUUGGCUCAUUCUACUCUGGUUGUGGAAUGAGAGCCUAUAUAAAAGCAACCUGUUGGGGGGAAAACACUAUGGUCACAUAAAUGAAAAACAACAAACCACAAGACACGUUGCUCAGCAGACACGUAGAAGAAUCAAAAAUCAUCUGGGACCCCUUUUUGUGGUGGGGCACUGGGAGGUCAAGAUAAGGUCCAGGCAGUUUCCUUGAACUGGACAUGUGCAGUAAUGCCGUGCGACAUCACGUCCCACAGCUUUGGGCCUGGCUGUGGAUAAUGCUGAACAAAAGUGGCCAACCCUCUACCAGGGUCAGUCAAACUCCAGCUCCAGCCAUUACUGACGCUCAACUUUUUCGCUAUGUGUCUUUUGGCCUAAUUUAGUGGCCGUGUUGACACCUCAGCUCCUCUCCUUCAGCCGGCCAUCCACACAGAGAACCGUGAGCUCAUCAAAAAAGGAGAGCAAACCCUCUGUUCUGAAAGUGAUGCUUACAUUAAUUGACUAUGAGCCAUUUCAUCCAGAGGCUUCAUCAGCCUGAACAAGGUCCACAUUUCUGUGCUUUACUGAAACAGGUAUGCACAUUCACCCCUCAUUGAAGAGUGGAGUUACGGUCAUUAUUGAGAAAAUGGAGCACUGAUUGCAAAGUGCAGAGUGCAGUUACAGUAGCACCUGGCUGUCUAUGCCAUUUCUCUAUGUUGCUUCUCUCCUGUGGCAUUUGUCCCUCUGCUGUCUUAUAUGGAACAGGAGGUUAAAUUUUGAUCUUGUUGGAUUCUGCAAUUUUUUUUGAAAGAUUUUUACUUUUUUACUUGGUGUUCAUUAUUCAGGGA